rnacentral:lncRNA from 1 species
AUGUUUAAAUUUUGUUCUGGUUUCCAUUCCAUUGUCCACUGUUUUAUCAGUAGAUUUGAUAACCUUAAUCUUUCAAUCUUUGUAUCAGCUUUGUUAGACGGGGUUGCCAGGUCAGUUUUUACUCUUUCAGUAGUUUUGCUUUCACAAAAUCAGUAGAUUCUUUUUAGGCCAUGUAAAUACAGUAUACUUAUACAGUAAUCUGCAUAU